AUUGAACGCUGGCGGCAGGCCUAACACAUGCAAGUCGAGCGGAUGAGGGCAGCUUGCUCCUGGAUUCAGCGGCGCACGCGUGAGUAAUGCCUGGGAAUCUGCCUGGCAGUGGGGGAUAAUGUCUGGAAACGGGCGCUACUACCGCAUACGACCAGAGCGUGAAACAGGGGGAUCUUCGGACCUUACGCUAGCAGAUGAGUGUAGGUCGGAUUAGCUAGUUGGUUGGGUAAAGGCCUACUAAGCGGACCAUCCGUAACUGGUCUGCGAGGAUGAUCAGUCGCACGGGAGGGGGAACAGGGUCAAGACUCCUACGGGAGGCAGCAGUGGGGAAUGUUGGGCAAUGGGGGAAAGCCUGGCACAGCCAGGCGACGUGUGUGAAGAAGGUCUUGGGAUUGUAAAGCCGGUUAAGUGGGGAGAAAGGGCAGUAGGUUGAUACGUUGCGGUUUUGACGGUACCGACAGAAGAAGCACCGGCUAACUACGUG
rnacentral:rRNA from 1 species